UGACUCUACUUGUUAUCAAAACUUCCCAAUAUGUCGUGAAAUUGGCUAUGUCAUUCCUCUAGAACACAGUUGGAGAGAAAAGAACUCUCCAUGGGAUCCUUGUCAAAGCACGGAAAAUAAAACUGUCUCCGACUCCUCUUUCCUACUUCACCAUCCUAAACGCCUGAACCCAAACUAGGAACCGCAGGCACUGCCUUCUCUCCCGGACUCAUCUGUCGCUGGGGAGCCCCUUCUCCGCCCAGCCGCGUUUGGGUCCAGUGUCCGACUCGGAAGGCUUUCUUUCCUGUCUGCCGCUCCUCCCCGCCUUUCUUUCCCCGCUGCCACCGCUGGAGGAACCUGCGCGACGCCGGGUGCCAGGUACCGAGUGCCGAGCGCCGGGAGCCAGGUCUCCGGAGGGCCCUGCGUGCAGGGGCGCGAGGUCCGUGCGGCUGCCCUGCGAGUGCGUCGGGAGAACUGCGCUUGCAGGUGUACGACAGUAAACUAAAUAAUUAGCAGAAGUCAAUAAAUGGACACCCAGUUCAGCCACUGAAGAAAGUCUAAGUACGCUGGGAGCAACUUGGGCAUAUGAAUCCCCUUUUUCAACUGUAAACGUUAUGAAAUCUAAGUACCCAUCCAGUUUUUCCGAUGAAAAUUUAACGCCCGAGUGUGCAACCUGCUGUCUGUUGAGUGUCCAAUACAUACUGGUUUGAAGACGAAGUAUAAAAAAAUUCUAAUAUCUUCAUAUUGGUUACAUGUCCAAAUAAUAUUUUGGAGCUCUUGGGCUAAAGGAGAUGUGGUAUUAAAAGCCACCCGUUUCUUAAUUUUUAGUGUGGCUGCAAGAAAAUGUAGAUUGCAUGUAGGGCAUUCGGCAUGUGUCGGUUGCGACGCGCCAGUCGAGGCAGGAAAAAGGGCAUAGCGUUGCCAGCAGCCGGUAACGUUUCAUGGAAGAAA